rnacentral:tRNA from 1 species
GGGGCCGUAGUCUAGCCUGGUAGGACUUACCCUUGGGGUGGGUAAAGCCGGGGUUCAAAUCCUCGCGGCCCCA